CACGCAAGUGGAGUCUAAGAGUGGAAGGCAGCAUACACUGAGGGGGUGAGGAGUAGAUAAGAGGGCAGAUGCUGAGCCACCGUUUGGAUGUAAAUCCCGGUUCUACCGUCCUGUGACCUUGGGGAACAGCAUUUUCUAAAAGAAGAGCAGAAAGGAAGAGGGUGUCAAGAGAGGAGAAAACAACCGAGAUAGAAACAAAGCACCAUCAUCCCAGCUAAGCUGAACCUGUCCGAAAAACCACGAAGACUUUCCUUUCCCCGUAAUGAGCCCCAGUGGGAACCUGGCAAAGGAGCUCUUCAGAGGUUUCAGGAGCCUGUUACCCACAUCCUGGGAGUCAAGAUGGGUAA